rnacentral:rRNA from 1 species
AGGGUUUGAUUAUGGCUCAGGAUGAACGCUGGCGGCAUGCUUUACACAUGCAAGUUGAACGAAUUAAAGUUUUCUAAUUUUAGUUAAGUAGCGAGCGGGUGAGUAAAACGUAAGAAUCUAUUUUUAGGUGAGGAAUAACUAAUGGAAACGUUAGCUAAUACCUUAUAAACUGAGAAGUGAAAAACUAAAAAUUGCCUAAAAGUGAGCUUGCGCCUGAUUAGCUUGGUGAGCAAAGGAUAAUUCGCUUACCAAAGGCGACGAUCAGUAUGUUGAUCUAAGAGGGUAAUCAACCACACUGGGACUGAGAUACAGCCCAGACCUCUACGGAGGGCAGCAGUGAGGAAUUUUCCGCAAUGAGCCGAAAGCCUGACGAAGCAAUGCCGCGUGAAGGAUGAAGGCCUAUAGGUCGUAAACUUCUUUUCUUAAUGAAGAAAUAAGACGGUAAUUAAGGAAUAAGCAUCGGCUAACUCCGUGCCAGCAGCCGCGGUAAUACGGAGGAUGCAAGCGUUAUCCCGAAAUAUUGGGGCGUAAAGGGUCUGUAGGCUACUUUUUAAGUCUACUGUUAAAGAAUAAGACUUAACCUUAGAAAAGCAGUAUGAAACUAAAAGGAUAGAGUUCAGUAGGGGUAGAGGGAAUUCUCGGUGUAGUAGUGAAAUGCGUAGAUAUCGAGAGGAACACCAAUGGGCGAAAGCACUCUACUAGGCUGUAACUGACGCUAAGAAGCGAAAGCUAGGGGAGCCAAUGGGAUUAGAUACCCCCAGUAGUCCUAGCUGUAAACGAUGGAUACUAAGUAUUGGGAUAAUAAAAAAUUCAGUGCUGUAGCUAACGCGUUAAGUAUCCCGCCUGGGGGAGUAUGCCCCGCAAGGGUGAAACUCAAAGAAAUUGACGGGGGCCCGCACAAGCGGUGGAGCAUGGGGGUUAAAUCGAUGCAACGCGAAAAACCUUACCAGGAUUUGACCAUCCCAUAUUUUUUUUCUAUGGAAAUAGGAAAAAUUUGACGUGGAGACCAGGUGGUGCAUGGCUGUCGUCACCUCGUGUCGUGAGAUGUUGGGUUAAGUCCCGUAACCGAGCGCAACCCCUUGUCUCUAGUUCCGAUAGGCUUAAAGAAACUGCGCUGAUAAUAAAUCGGAGGAAGGGGAGAGAUGACGUCAAGUCACGCAUGCCCCUUAAAUUUCGGGGCGACAACCACGUGCUACAAUGGGGUUAAGACAAUGGGAUGCAAACUUGUAAAAGGAAGCUAACCUCAAAAACUUAAUCGAAGUUCGGAUUGUCGACUGAAACUCGUCGACAUGAAGCUGGAAUCGCUAGUAAUCGCCGGUCAGCCACACGGCGGUGAAUACGUUCUCGGGCCUUGUACACACCGCCCGUCACGCUAGGGAAGCUGAUUACGCCCGAAGUCAUUAAUUUAACCUUUUGGAGAAAAAUGCCGAAGGCAGAGUGAGUAACUAGAACGAAGUCGUAACAAGGUAACC